AAAAAUUCAACUCAAAACCGAAAUUUUUCAACCCCGACAAAAAACAAAACAUUACAAUCGAGUACAAAAGCAUUUACAAAAGUCAUAGAGCAUAUAGGAUUUGACUUAAGAAUGCUAUCCAAGAUCAAACAACACUUCUGAAUUAAUUGGAACCUGCACAUAAAAUAAAUAUUUGUCAUCAAGCUUAGUGAUGCUUUAAAAGUUUCCAAUAAUAAUUUAUAUAUUACAUUAGUCAAAAACAUAUUAGUUAAUAACAUGAACUUAACGUUAAAGCAUCAUAACAUUUCAUCAAUAUCCAUCAUUUCAUUAUUAAGCAAAUUUCAUCAAUAUCAUGAAGUCAACGCUCAUUUGCAAUAUCAUAUUCCAUUUCAUAUUUAAGUAACAUUUACAACAUUAAACAUCAUUAGAGCAUAGUCUCUAUUAAUCAAACAUGAAAACUUUGUUUAGAUACAAGGAUAAAUCUAGACACACCAUAUAGAAUAACAAAAUUUCGUGAGUUCCAACCAAACACAUUACAAAAAUAUGCAAAGCACAACAAUGUACCCUCUAAACACACCAAAAUAUACAUAAGUCUCAAUCAAUAUAUUCUCCAAACAUACUACUCUUGGGUACAUUAAGCAAACCCGACAAUACACACAAGAUCAAAAAAUUCAAUAUCUUAUGACAUGUCAACUAUAUCCAAACACAUUUUAAAAUUGUUUAGACAAUUAAAACAUAUUUAAUAAUUUCAUUAAGCAUCUUAACCAAUUCUAUUCAACCAAAAAUCAUCUUAAUCAUAUAGUUUAUUCAACAACCUAAGCAUUCAACUUAAGAUAAUACAAAGUAAAAUAAAAAAUCAAAGAGUACAAAUCGAAACUGUCACGCUUCUCCUACUUUCUCAUUCCCAUAAGCUUUAGAGGCCUCGCCAACCUCCUUAGCUUCAAUUCAUACCAAAACAAUAAGUUGGUAAAACAUUAAUCAACAAUUAAAACACUAAAGUUAUUAAGAUGAUGCAAUUCGAAAAACCGAGAGGCUCAUGUCGCUUCCAAAAAUCUCAUAAGAGAAUUAUUUCAUACUUAACCUAACCUUGCUAAAAUUGAUUUCUAUUGGUUUAACCAUAAUCCAAAGACCAAAACUCACCUAGAAAUUAUCAAGAACCUAACUCUUCUCAUUUUCUCUCUGUAGAACUCAUUAAUGGCAACUCACUAAAGCUUGACUAGAACUCCAAUUAAAUUUGAAAUUCUUUGUUCUAAUAACAUUCGAAACUCAAAAACACUUAGAAUUUAAUUUGAAAACUACACAAAAACACAAAAUCAAAGUUUUCUCUCUCUAGCUUAAAACUAACCUAACUGACAAGGAAAAGAGACCAUGCUUGAUUUUCUUGAAAAAUAUUGAUUCCUAGUAGUUUAAAUUAUCUUCAGAACCUCAAAACAUUAAAUCUCAAAUAAAUAUUCAUCAAGAAUCAUUAAAUUCCCAAAACCUCUCCAGAUUGCCGUGGAAGUAAUUUUUGAAAGGAGAAAUGUUGAAUCAAGCUUAAAACAUUUGACUAAAUGAAAGAAAUUAUCAAAAUAUUGCUUACCUUGUUGCAAUUGAAAGACUGAAAUCAAGAAUUGAAGUUGAAAUUGAGAGAAAUUUUGAGUAGAAAAUUUUAAGUAUCGUGAAAA
rnacentral:lncRNA from 1 species